rnacentral:rRNA from 1 species
GACGAACGCUGGCGGCGUGCUUAACACAUGCAAGUCGAACGAAGUGGCGAACGGGUGAGUACUACGUGAGUAACCUGCCCUCCUUUUUGGGAUAAGCCUUGGAAACGGGGUCUAAUACCGAAUAAAGGGGGAUGGGCUCGCGGCCUAUCAGAUUGUUGGUGGGGUGAUGGCCUCCCAAGGCGGUGACGGGUAGCCGGCCUGAGAGGGUGACCGGCCAAAUUGGGACUGCGAUACGGCCCAGACUCCUACGGGAGGCAGCAGUGGGGGAUAUUGCACAAUGGGCGAAAGCCUGAUGCAGCGACGCCGCGUGGGAGAUGAAGGCCUUCGGGUUGUAAACUCCUUUCACCAUCGACGCGGUAGAUUGAGAAGAAGCACCGGCUAACUACGUGCCAGCAGCCGCGGUAAUUC